AAAGAAUGAAUAAUGUCGAUUGUCGGGUUUUUAACUACAUAUUAUACAGUUUACUUACAAAUUAUAUGGAUAAAGUUACUCCAAAAUCUGGAAUCAUCGCCAUUUAGACACUUAAAAAGCAUUAAAUGAGUGAAACAAUGUAUGAUUAAUGAAGAUUUUAUAACUGGCAAUGUCAUAGCAAUACAUUUUUUAAUCAUUUUACUUUUAAGUGAAAAAAUUCUGUUGUAUCUAUGACAAAAUGUGUGGAAUAUUAUAUUUAUAAAAAGGUAAGGUAUUGUACGGUAUCGUGUGUCACCGUAUUAUAUCACUGUCUAGGUUACCAACGUCGCGUAGGUAUUUAAGAACUGUCAAAAACACGUCAUUGCCGGAGAUUUGGUGUUUCAAAAAUAUCAUGAGGCAUGUAAUCCCACUGGUACCUCAACCAUGAUCAGGUUAACUUUUCCCCAAAACUCGCUAGUGGUAUUAAGUUUAUGGUCAAAUGUUCCUUUAUUCUCCAAUUUAUCCGGUCGUGUAAAACUUCCGAAUGACAACAUUCCGAGAUCAGUGGAAAUCAUAUUAUAAUAAAAUUAUAAAAAUGUAAUAAAUCAUUGUAUCGUUUUUAAACAAAAACAACAUUAUUCAAUACUUGGCAAAAUUACAGGCUACAGGUGGUACCAUCACAUAAAAUGUUUGAACAAUGGUGGAGUCAUAGAGUGAAGGAUGCCCUAAUCCGAUCAAAUGACUUAUGGUUACCGAUGAACAUUUUUCGAAUAAUUGGG